rnacentral:rRNA from 1 species
GUCGAGCGGACAGAUGGGAGCUUGCUCCCUGAUGUUAGCGGCGGACGGGUGAGUAACACGUGGGUAACCUGCCUGUAAGACUGGGAUAACUCCGGGAAACCGGGGCUAAUACCGGAUGGUUGUUUGAACCGCAUGGUUCAGACAUAAAAGGUGGCUUCGGCUACCACUUACAGAUGGACCCGCGGCGCAUUAGCUAGUUGGUGAGGUAACGGCUCACCAAGGCGACGAUGCGUAGCCGACCUGAGAGGGUGAUCGGCCACACUGGGACUGAGACACGGCCCAGACUCCUACGGGAGGCAGCAGUAGGGAAUCUUCCGCAAUGGACGAAAGUCUGACGGAGCAACGCCGCGUGAGUGAUGAAGGUUUUCGGAUCGUAAAGCUCUGUUGUUAGGGAAGAACAAGUGCCGUUCAAAUAGGGCGGCACCUUGACGGUACCUAACCAGAAAGCCACGGCUAACUACGUGCCAGCAGCCGCGGUAAUACGUAGGUGGCAAGCGUUGUCCGGAAUUAUUGGGCGUAAAGGGCUCGCAGGCGGUUUCUUAAGUCUGAUGUGAAAGCCCCCGGCUCAACCGGGGAGGGUCAUUGGAAACUGGGGAACUUGAGUGCAGAAGAGGAGAGUGGAAUUCCACGUGUAGCGGUGAAAUGCGUAGAGAUGUGGAGGAACACCAGUGGCGAAGGCGACUCUCUGGUCUGUAACUGACGCUGAGGAGCGAAAGCGUGGGGAGCGAACAGGAUUAGAUACCCUGGUAGUCCACGCCGUAAACGAUGAGUGCUAAGUGUUAGGGGGUUUCCGCCCCUUAGUGCUGCAGCUAACGCAUUAAGCACUCCGCCUGGGGGAGUACGGUCGCAAGACUGAAACUCAAAGGAAUUGACGGGGGCCCGCACAAGCGGUGGAAGCAUGUGGUUUUAAUUCGAAGCAACGCGAAGAACCUUACCAGGUCUUGACAUCCUCUGACAAUCCUAGAAGAUAGGACGUCCCCUUCGGGGGCAGAGUGACAGGUGGGUGCAUGGUUGUCGUCAGCUCGUGU